GUUAUUCGUGUUAUACAAUUGGAAGUUGGAACACCCUUACAAGCAUGCUGGAGAGAUUUUCAAGGAGUGAGGUUAUUCCUGUUAUACAAUUGGAUCACCCUUACAAGCGUGCUGGAGAGAUUUGCAAGGAGUAAAUAUUUGAAGGCCUUCCCACAAGACUCUUCUUUAGCAGCGGAUUUGUCAAAAUUUGAAGCACGUGCAGCUCAAAAGGAACAAAAUUUGAAGUUGACAAGCUGGAAUUAGCAAGCUUUCAAGGCCGGUUUUUUAUAUUUGGAAUGCCUUGCUUUCUUGCACUUAUCAUAUACAUUGCACUAACAAUAUGACGUCAAGUGGGAAAACAUCCAAUCAGGACCCAUUAAAACGUUCAUUUUAUUCGUUGAUGAAAAAGAAGAGACAACAAACGUGCGUUCAAAGAAAAAGUGUUCAGAAGGAAGUUCAGGCAUGACAUAUGCAGAUAAUGCAUCGAUGCGAAACUAUAAUUGCGGCAACAUAGAUUUAUCAUUGGACACCUCCAAAUGAUCAAAAUGUUGUAAUGAUUUGCUAAAAAUUAAGAGACACAUGGCUGAAGUUGAAUUCCCGUUGCUGUUCGUUUUUUUGGGUUCUCGUGAAGCACACAUCAAAGACAAAGAGGCACUUGGUUCUUCUUUACAUUUUUUAAGAUACGCUUUAGGUCGCCACUGAUUCAGCUCAUUCUAAGCUUAUAAAUUUGGCGAAAAAGAGAACGGAUCAACCAGAAGAUGAAAGCUCUACAUAAGCUUGUGCCUAAUGCUAACAAGACCGAUAAAGCUUCAAUGUUGGAUGAAGUAAUAGACUACUUAAAGAAGCUUCAAGCACAUGUGCAAAUAAUGAAAAACAUGUGAGUUCCACAACAACAAAUGAUGAUACUUGUACCACUACAAUGAAGGUAUGAUCGGUCUGGUACUGUUGGUACGGUUAUCGGCCGGAGAUAGAAGCGAGGAAGUGAGUAGCAAACUCAUUCAUCUGAGAACCCACAGUUGUUGGAGCUGAUGAAGAUGAAGGUAUAAUUGAAUUGUUACAGAAGGAAAUCAAGGGUAAAGAUAUCAUAGACCUAAUUGCAGCUGCAACUGGUGGCAGUGUCGCACCUAAUAUAACGGCUAAAUGGGUGCAAUUAAAACGAUAGGCCAACGUCUAAUACUUCAUAAAUUAUUUUAAUCAGAAGACUAUCAUUAUCAUUUAUAUUGUACAUUUGAUCAAAAUAUAUUUAUUCCUUAUUAGAUUAGUUAGUAAUUAUUUGAUGGACGUAAUUACCCUUAUUAUCUAAUCAA